UACGUAGGGUGCAAGCGUUAAUCGGAAUUACUGGGCGUAAAGCGUGCGCAGGCGGUUUUGUAAGUCAGAUGUGAAAUCCCCGGGCUUAACCUGGGAACUGCGUUUGAAACUACAAGGCUAGAGUGUGGCAGAGGGGGGUGGAAUUCCACGUGUAGCAGUGAAAUGCGUAGAGAUGUGGAGGAACACCGAUGGCGAAGGCAGCCCCCUGGGUCAACACUGACGCUCAGGCACGAAAGCGUGGGGAGCAAACAGG
rnacentral:rRNA from 1 species